GCCAUCCUGAUGUGGGGGCAUGAGGAAAGUGCUGCAGUUUGCGCUCCAACGCCGAGUGCUCACAACCGCGUGGCAUCUGUCAAAACUGUACAAAAGCAUUCACAAUCAACCCGCAUCCAAAACUGCAAAAUGUCAGGUCGAUGUCGCCACGAAAGCUGUGCCAAGAACCACGCCUUCAUGGGAGGGGGCAUGAGGAGAGUGAGCCCCGUGCUGUUGGUGCUCCAAUCAUG
rnacentral:RNase_MRP_RNA from 1 species